rnacentral:lncRNA from 1 species
CAGGGGACUCCUGGAGUCCAUGCAGUAUGCAGAGGGCGGAGGCUUGGAGGAAAGUCGUUGAUGAUGAGCACUGCCUGUUGGGGCUAAGGGAGGUGGGGCCUUCCAGAAUUUAGGUAAGAUGAAGUAAACACAUGGCAGCCUCUCUCUCCCACUGAAGAUACAACCUUGAUAGAGGGCAUGGUAGAGCUAUUUGAAUGAUCCAAACAGUAAAUACUAGCAAGUAGAUGGGUGAAAACAACCAGGAUUCCAAGUACCACAAAACUGGUGUUGAGUUGUGCACACUUUUUCCUCUGGAAUCUCUUGAGCAGAACUCAGCAUGACCUGAAACCCAGGAGUGAGCAGCACAGUGCCGACAAUCAGAUGCAGAAGAAAACCUCUGGUUCUGGCUGAAGCAGUGGACAAGGAGACUCUUGAAACUCAGAGCCUGGGGGCACCCCUGAUGCUGUUCUUUACUUUCUCUCCCUUCUCACAUUCCAGCCACCAGAGAAUGCAAGAGAGGAGUAGCAGUGGCAGUAAAUGUGGCAUCAACAACAACAAAAAAAAGCAGGGACUAGGACUCUGAGGAAGGGAAGCCUAUAUUCUGGCUUAGGGUGCUCUUUCUUCCUGCCUGGGGGUCAUAUACCACCUGUGGGCACCUCAGGACUCCUGAUAACCUCACUUUUACCUGUUGCCUUUUUAGCCCAGGAUCAGUAGGUAUGGGGGUGCACAUGCUCUUGAGGACACAGCAGCUGUCACAUCAGGGAACCCGACUCCAGAACCCUCUGUAAAUAUCCCAUGGCUUGGCCCUGCCCAUCACCCCACCCAGCCCUCCUCAAAUGAGGAGCUAAAGCUGGCCCAUGAGGCCAAAGUGCAGAGGGUAGGGAUAAUGAGCCACUGGCCUUCUAGAACCUGGCAUGGUCCCUGAGUCAGCCAUGACACAGGCAGGGGAGAAGGGUGGGGCUGGGACAAAGCUGGAUCUCAAGGGAGUUAGAUUUGUUCAGCCUAGGGGAGGGGAGCAGAGGAGAUGCUCUAAGAUGUGGCUUUACCAAAUGUUUCAAGGACACGGAUGGACCAAGCAAUGGCACCUGUGAUGAAAGAUUGAAGCCCAGGAGGUGGGGCUCCUGCUAAUCUCACUUGACUAUUCUAAGGCUCCACAAAAAGCAAGGUUCUUAGCAAUGUAGAUGGGGCUUUAUGGGUAGGAAAGGGAGAAACUGGUAUUUCUUUACACAACUUCUGCUAAGCACCUCAUAUGUGCUAUGAUAACUAAUCCUCACUAAGCCCAUGACACAAAGAUUCAUGUUUUAGAUGAACAAGCUAAGAUAUAAAAAAGUUAAACAAGAGACAUCCAAGGUCACAGUCCUAGUAAGGGACAGGGCUGAGUAAGCCUUCAGUAAAUAUAUUCUCCUACCCCAGUACAAAACCCAGAAAAGUCUUUAAUGUCCCAAGUCACGGAUCCUAACACAUGGGCCAUGAACUUUAGAACACAGAGCCCAGCAGCAAUGUGAGGGAGAUGUAGAAAUCAAAACAACUCACAUUUAGUAACUUGCUGAAUGCUAGACAGUCUUCCCCAUGUUGUGAGAAAUGAAAGAACAUAGCCCCAUGACUUUGAGGUCUUUACAAGCCUCCCUGAAGAACUAGCUUCUCGAGCUGACAGACAGGCAUGUUUUCACAAAUUUACCAGGUACCUGUGACUCUGAGGAACACACCGCCUGGGCAAGGAUGGAUUGGCCAGAAAAUCACUCAGUCCAAGGUAGUUCUUACAGCCAGAAGAAUUCACGGGUGCUCUUAGUGGUUCUCAGACCUGCUUGUCUCAUUUAUUAAAGCUCAACUAAUGCCUUGAAGGGGAAGAAAUUAGCUUUCCAUCCAGUUAGGAAUGACUGUUGUGGCCUGGCGCAGUGGCUCACUCCUGUAAUCCCAGCACUUUGGGAGGAUGAGGCGGGAGGAUCACGAGGUCAGGAGUUCAAGACCAGCCUGGCCAAUAUGGUGAAACCCCAUCUCACUAAAAAUACAAAAAUUAGCUGGGCGUGGUGGCACGCGCCUGUCAUCCCAGCUACUCAGGAGUCUGAGGGAGAAGAAUCGCCUGAACCCGGAGGCGGAGGUUGCAGUUAGCAGAGAUCGCGCCACUGCACUCCAGCCUGGGCAACAAAGCGAGACCCCUUCAAAAAAAAAAAAAAAAGAAUGACUGUUUUUUCUGAGGACCAAGGAGGCCUGAGGGAGCAAACUCCUUUGGAGUUUCGGGGAUGUGGUUGUGUGAGCUUGUGGGGGAGGGCAAACAGUGUGGGCUAUAGGGUGGUGGCCUGGGGAGAACAAGAAGGUCCUUCAGCAGCCUAGACAGGGGGAAGCUGCUUGUCUCUUCAUGAGUGAGGAAGGUGGGGUUUUAUUCUAUGACCUCAGUUCCUUAAUUUGUAAAAUGGCCUUGGAGAAAUAUCUAGUUCAGGGGAUGGUAUAUUGAUAAACUGUGAAGUGCUAAAGUAAUUAAAUGCAUAACACAGACUUGGAGAAGUGGAAGUGCUAACGGCCUCCAUUAUAUUAAUUAUAUGCAUCACUGAGCACAUUGUAAUCAAUGGCAGCAUAUUAGUGAUAACAUUGGGCAUAUUGGGUUCUAGAAUCACUGAACUGGCACAGCAAGUAUUUCAGAGGCCAUCCAGCCUGGUCUUCCUUAUCUGAGGUUAGAAUUGUCUGUGAGAUAUUUGUGCUAAGGAGUACCAAUAUUUUCCUCAGUAAUACUGGGCAUGUUGAAUAUCAGAGUUCAUCCAGGGCCUGGGAGAGUGGGAAAUCCUGCCUGUCCCCCAUGAGGCUUCUCCAGGUUGACCAGAUCCACUCUUGCCCUCCUAGAUCCCUGAGCACAGACAGAUUUGGCAUCCAGAGUGGGCUGUGGUCAUCAUUUGAAAGGAAAAACCAGCUAUGAGUCAGGGCUUAGACUGGAGAAAAUUUCUAAGGAGGUGGGGCCAGCUGCUUACUUCCCCCAGGCCCAGCAGGAAAUUGAGCCUCACUGUCCCAAAUGUGAACUGAAAGGCAUCCAAGAGCCCUUGAUAUAACUUCAGACAUAAACAACAUAAGCACAGGGUCCCAAUUCCCUGGGAGUCACCUCCCCACCCACAUGAAGAUGGCACUGCUGCCACAGUCAUCUGUGACCCAAGAGUCAUCCUUUCCACUAUUCUUGGUACAAUCACCAAUAAACCACAGCAGGGAAACCACACCCCAUAGCUCUCCCUAGCCUUGCCCAGUGUGCCAGUGGUGAAGAAGCCAUUCCUUAGUGUUCUAGAACCCCCUCUGCAAAACAUAAU